UAUCUACUUUUCAAUUGCUUAUUAGCGUAUAACCAAAAUAGAAAAGAAAAUGAACACAAAUAAAGUUUUGUCUCUUAUGAUGGUUUGUUUAUUUUUAGGGUUGUUGAUAGGAGAAUCUUCAGCAUACUUGAUGUGUUAUGAAACUUGUCUGACUCAAUGUCUCGCAUCGAAAAUGCUUCGACCUUUUUGCGUAUAUAAGUGCUUGAAAGAGUGUGCAACUCCAACCGAUAUUGCCAAACUCAAUUGUGCAAUAUCUAAAUGCAUCAACAUCAAUACAACAGAUCAUGCUGCAUUGGACCAACAACACAAAGCUUGCUUGGAUUCAUGCAGAAUGAUGGACAAGAACUAAUUGCCUACCUACCUAAUAAAAAGCCACUAUUGCUUAUUGCUUUUCAAUUGCAAUUGCUUUGUUAUUGAAGGAAUAAAGUUAUAAAUAAAACCUUUAUCCGCAAACAAAUGUAGUAACUUUCUUAUGUUUCUUUAAAUUUAUGCUAUAAUUACAAUAUAACCAUCAAAA